rnacentral:lncRNA from 1 species
UGAGGAUGAAUCUAUCCCGAACCUGAUUUCAUGUGAAUGAAAUUCUAUCGGAUCUGACUUCUGAAACGCAACCUAUGGUUCUUAGCAUAUCUCAACAUGCUAACAUGCUUUACAAGUCUAGUUUUAGUCUGUAGUCCUUUGCUAACUUCAUAGCUAACAUUAUCUAUAUUUAAAAUCUGCAAGAGUUUAACUGAAAUAUGUUUUCCCCUCAGGAAGAAACGUCCAGAGAGACUCGUCCAUGGACGCGACAAUGCUGGUUCUGGUACUGUGCCAUAAUGAGAAGAAACGUCCAGAGAGACUCGUCCAUGGACGCGACAAUGCUGGUUCUGGUACUGUGCCAUAAUGAGAAGAAACGUCCAGAGAGACUCAACCAAGGACGCGACAAUGCUGUUUCUGGUACUGUGCCAUAAUGAGAAGAAACGUCCAGAGAGACUCGUCCAUGGACGCGACAAUGCUGGUUCUGGUACUGUGCCAUAAUGAGUAAGUACUGGGCUUGAUGUUUUGGGCUCUCUUGCACCAGAUUCAUGUUGUAGCCAUCGAUGAUGGCAAACCCCUUGUAAUGUUGUAGGGGAAAGGCUGGUGUCGCUAAAGGGUUUUCAUAUUAAGACUUAGCCUUAAUGCUUUGUUUGGGGUUGUCUUGAGGAUGAAUCUAUCCCGAACCUGAUUUCAUGUGAAUGAAAUUCUAUCGGAUCUGACUUCUGAAACGCAACCUAUGGUUCUUAGCAUAUCUUAUGCUUUACAAGUCUAGUUUUAGUCUGUAGUCCUUUGCUAACUUCAUAGCUAACAUUAUCUAUAUUUAAAAUAUGCAAGAGUUUAACUUAAAUAUGUUUUUCCCUCAGGAAGAAACGUCCAGAGAGACUCGUCCAUGGACGCGACAAUGCUGGUUCUGGUACUGUGCCAUAAUGAAAAGAAACGUCCAGAGAGACUCGUCCAUGGACGCGACAAUGCUGGUUCUGGUACUGUGCCAUAAUGAAAAGAAACGUCCAGAGAGACUCGUCCAUGGACGCGACAAUGCUGGUUCUGGUACUGUGCCAUAAUGAGUAAGUACUGGGGCUGUUUUGGGCUCUCUUGCACCAGAUUCAUGUUGUAGCCAUCGAUGAUGGCAAACCCCUUGUAUUGUUGUGGGGGAAAGGCUGGUGUUGCUAAAGGGUUUUCAUAUUAAGACUUAGCCUUAAUGCUUUGUUUGGGGUUGUCUUGAGGAUGAAUCUAUCCCGAACCUGAUUUCAUGUGAAUGAAAUUCUAUCGGAUCUGACUUCUGAAACGCAACCUAUGGUUCUUAGCAUAUCUCAUGCUUUACAAGUCUAGUUUUAGUCUGUAGUCCUUUGCUAACUUCAUAGCUAACAUUAUCUAUAUUUAAAAUCUGCAAGAGUUUAACUGAAAUAUUUUUUCCCCUCAGGAAGAAACGUCCAGAGAGACUCGUCCAUGGACGCGACAAUGCUGGUUCUGGUACUGUGCCAUAAUGAGUAAGUACUGGGGCUGUUUUGGGCUCUCUUGCACCAGAUUCAUGUUGUAGCCAUCGAUGAUGGCAAACCCCUUGUAUUGUUGUGGGGGAAAGGCUGGUGUUGCUAAAGGGUUUUCAUAUUAAGACCACAUUUACACAUAGCCGGGUAUUUACAGAAACGAAUAUUUCUGCCCCUCCAUUUUCAAAAAUAACGUCGUACACACAAGAUCGUUU